GACGAACGCUGGCGGCGUGCUUAACACAUGCAAGUCGAACGGAAAGGCCCUUCUUUUGAGUGGUGCUCGAGUGGCGAACGGGUGAUUAACACGUGAGUAACCUGCCCUUGACUUUGGGAUAACUUCAGGAAACUUGGUCUAAUACCUGAUAGGAGCUCCUGCUGCAUGGUGGGGGUUGGAAAGUUUCGGCGGUUGGGGAUGGACUCGCGGCUUAUCAGCUUGUUGGUGGGGUAGUGGCUUACCAAGGCUUUGACGGGUAGCCGGCCUGAGAGGGUGACCGGGCACAUUGGGACUGAGAGACGGCCCAGACGCGUACGGGAGGCAGCAGGGGGGAGUAUGGCACAAUGGGCGGAAGCCUGAGGCAGAAACGCCGCGUGCGGGAUGACGGCCUUCGGGUUGUAAACCGCUUUCGCCUGUGACGAAGCGUGAGUGACGGUAAUGGGUAAAGAAGCACCGGCUAACUACGUG
rnacentral:rRNA from 1 species